rnacentral:rRNA from 1 species
GGGUUGUGAGGUUAAGCGACUAAGCGUACACGGUGGAUGCCCUGGCAGUCAGAGGCGAUGAAGGACGUGCUAAUCUGCGAUAAGCGUCGGUAAGGUGAUAUGAACCGUUAUAACCGGCGAUUUCCGAAUGGGGAAACCCAGUGUGAUUCGUCACACUAUCAUUAACUGAAUCCAUAGGUUAAUGAGGCGAACCGGGGGAACUGAAACAUCUAAGUACCCCGAGGAAAAGAAAUCAACCGAGAUUCCCCCAGUAGCGGCGAGCGAACGGGGAGCAGCCCAGAGCCUGAAUCAGUGUGUGUGUUAGUGGAAGCGUCUGGAAAGGCACGCGAUACAGGGUGACAGCCCCGUACACAAAAAUGCACAUGCUGUGAGCUCGAUGAGUAGGGCGGGACACGUGGUAUCCUGUCUGAAUAUGGGGGGACCAUCCUCCAAGGCUAAAUACUCCUGACUGACCGAUAGUGAACCAGUACCGUGAGGGAAAGGCGAAAAGAACCCCGGCGAGGGGAGUGAAAAAGAACCUGAAACCGUGUACGUACAAGCAGUGGGAGCACGCUUAGGCGUGUGACUGCGUACCUUUUGUAUAAUGGGUCAGCGACUUAUAUUCUGUAGCAAGGUUAACCGAAUAGGGGAGCCGAAGGGAAACCGAGUCUUAACUGGGCGUUAAGUUGCAGGGUAUAGACCCGAAACCCGGUGAUCUAGCCAUGGGCAGGUUGAAGGUUGGGUAACACUAACUGGAGGACCGAACCGACUAAUGUUGAAAAAUUAGCGGAUGACUUGUGGCUGGGGGUGAAAGGCCAAUCAAACCGGGAGAUAGCUGGUUCUCCCCGAAAGCUAUUUAGGUAGCGCCUCGUGAA